UGGGGAAUAUUGCACAAUGGGCGAAAGCCUGAUGCAGCGACGCCGCGUGAGGGAUGACGGCCUUCGGGUUGUAAACCUCUUUCAGCAGGGACGAAGCGCAAGUGACGGUACCUGCAGAAGAAGCACCGGCUAACUACGUGCCAGCAGCCGCGGGAAUACGUAGGGUGCAAGCGUUGUCCGGAAUUACUGGGCGUAAAGCGUUCGUAGGGGGUUUGUCGCGUCGGUUGUGAAAACCAGCAGCUCAACCGCUGGCUUGCAGGCGAUACGGGGGGACUUGAGUACUGCAGGGGAGAGUGGAAUUCCUGGUGUAGCGGUGAAAUGCGCAGAUAUCAGGAGGAACACCGGUGGCGAAGGCGGGUCUCUGGGCAGUAACUGACGCUGAGGAACGAAAGCGUGGGUAGCGAACAGG
rnacentral:rRNA from 1 species